AUUGGAAAAAAAAUUAAAAAACUAAAUAUAUUUAAUGUUUAUUUACAAAAUCCUUGAUCCUAUGACUAACAUUGGGCUGAUGAGUCAAAAUCCGCUACAGAUCUAAAAUUUAAAACGCAGCCUCACAUUUUCUUGGCGGUGUAAUGGUUGCAGUUUGAUGAACCCUUCUUCUCGAGAGUAUUAAAAGUAGGACUAGAUUUGACAUAAUAGCAAGGGCAGCUAUCACCGAAACAACUACAAGUGGUCCAUAAUAAUCACCUACUGGUUGCUCUCCAACACUAGCUGUCAAAAGCUUACCUGAAAGAUAUUUAAAAAAAGAAAGUUUUAGAUUUUUUUGUGGAAAUUAAAAUAUAAUAAAAAUAAUAAAUUUUCCGCGAUGUUGGUUGCUUUGACAAUAUAUAUUAUGUAUCCCGUU